GACGAACGCUGGCGGCGUGCUUAACACAUGCAAGUCGAACGGAAAUGCCCUGCUUUCGUGGGUUGCUCGUGUGGCGAACGUGAGUGUAACAUGUGAGUAACCUGCCCUUCACUUUGGUAUAACUUCAGGAAACUGGGUCUUAUUCCGGACUGCUGCUCCUGCUGCAUGGUGGGGUUUGGAAAGUUUUGGUGGUUGGGGAUGGACUCGCGGCUUAUCAGCUUGUUGGUGGGGUAGUGGCUUACCAAGGCUUUGACGGGUAGCCGGCCUGAGAGGGUGACCGGCAACAUGGGGACUGAGAUACGGCCAAGACUCCUACGGGAGGAAGAAGUGGGGAAUAUGGAAAAAUGGGCGGAAGCCGGAUGCAGCAAGGCGGGGGGCGGGAUGACGGCCUUCGGGUUGUAAACCGCUUUCGCAUGUGACGAAGCGUGAGUGACGGUAAUGGGUAAAGAAGCACCGGCUAACUACGUG
rnacentral:rRNA from 1 species